rnacentral:lncRNA from 12 species
GGGGGGGGGGGGGGGGGGGGGGGGGGGGGGGGGGGGGGGGGGGGGGGGGGGGGGGGGGGGGGGGGGGGGGGGGGGGGGCUCCCCCCGGCAGCCGCAGCCGGGGGCCGGGCGGUGACGCUCUCCUCGGGGACAGGGGUGCGGGGAGCCGAGCCCGAGGUGGGGAGAGCGAUAGCCCGGGGGCAGCUCCCGGGAACGGGCUGGGCACGGGGACAGCGCGCCCGCAGGCUGCGGGUGGCGCGGCACCAGCAUCCAUCCCUUCCUCCGCCUCCUCCUCCUCCUCCUCCUCCUCCUGCAGCCGCAACCCAACCAACCGCGGCGGCGAGACCGGCCAGGUUCUUGGCAUGGAAAUAAUGACCUGGCUCGGUGGAGAAAAUCAUCCUUUAGUGACUCCGGAAUGUGUGCGGAAUUUGAAGGUUUGUUCUUCUCUCUAG